AGUGAACGCUGGCGGUAGGCCUAACACAUGCAAGUCGAACGGCAGCACAGUAAGAGCUUGCUCUUACGGGUGGCGAGUGGCGUACGGGUGAGGAAUACAUCGGAAUCUACUUUUUCGUGGGGGAUAACGUAGGGAAACUUACGCUAAUACCGCAUACGACCUACGGGUGAAAGCAGGGGAUCUUCUGACCUUGCGCGAUUGAAUGAGCCGAUGUCGGAUUAGCUAGUUGGCGGGGUAAAGGCCCACCAAGGCGACGAUCCGUAGCUGGUCUGAGAGGAUGAUCAGACACACUGGAACUGAGACACGGUCCAGACUCCUACGGGAGGCAGCAGUGGGGAAUAUUGGACAAUGGGCGCAAGCCUGAUCCAGCAAUACCGCGUGGGUGAAGAAGGCCUUCGGGUUGUAAAGCCCUUUUGUUGGGAAAGAAAAGCAGCAGGUUAAUACCGCGCUGUACUGACGGUACCGAAAGAAUAAGCACCGGCUAACUUCGUG
rnacentral:rRNA from 1 species